rnacentral:rRNA from 1 species
GACGAACGCUGGCGGCGUGCCUAAUACAUGCGAGUUGAGCGCUGAAGGUUUGUACUUGUCCCUACUGGAUGAGCAGCGAACGGGUGAGUAACGCGUGGGGAAUCUGCCUUUGAUCGGGGGACAACAUUUGGAAACGAAUGCUAAUACCGCAUAAAAACUUUAAACACAAGUUUUAAGUUUGAAAGAUGCAAUUGCAUCACUCAUAGAUGAUCCCGCGUUUUAUUAGCUAGUUGGUGAGGUAAAGGCUCACCAAGGCGAUGAUACAUAGCCUGCCUGAGAGGGUGGUCGGCCACCAUGGGAAUGAGACACGGCCCAAAAUUCUACGGGAGGCAGCAGGAGGGAAGCUUCGGCAAAGGACGAAAGGCUGACCGAGCAACGCCGCGUGAGGGAAGAAGGGUGUCGGAUCGUAAAACUCUGUUGGUAGAGAAGAACGUUGGUGAGAGUGGAAAGCUCAUCAAGUGACGGUAACUACCCAGAAAGGGACGGCUAACUACGUG